CCUACGGGAGGCAGCAGUGGGGAAUAUUGGACAAUGGGGGCAACCCUGAUCCAGCAAUUCCGCGUGGGUGAAGAAGGCCUUCGGGUUGUAAAGCCCUUUAGGCAGGGAAGAAAAGCCGUACGUAAAUAAUGUACGGUCUUGACGGUACCUGCGGAAUAAGCACCGGCUAACUCUGUGCCAGCAGCCGCGGUAAUACAGAGGGUGCAAGCGUUAAUCGGAUUUACUGGGCGUAAAGCGUGCGUAGGCGGCCAGACAAGUCGGAUGUGAAAUCCCCGAGCUUAACUUGGGAACUGCAUCCGAAACUAUCUGGCUAGAGUGUGGUAGAGGGCGGUGGAAUUCCCGGUGUAGCGGUGAAAUGCGUAGAUAUCGGGAGGAACAUCAAUGGCGAAGGCAGCUGCCUGGGCCAACACUGACGCUGAGGUACGAAAGCGUGGGGAGCA
rnacentral:rRNA from 1 species